UUUUGAGUCCUAUUUUUGUUACAGAACACAUUGUUCCUACCAUAAUCAUUGCAGGGGAUGCCUCAGGAAGCUUACAAUCAUGGCAGAAGGGGAAGCAGACACGUUCUUCUUCACAUGACGGCAACAAGAAAAAAUGCAGUACGAAGUGGGGGUCAGGGGAAGACCCUUAUAAAACCAUCAGAUCUCGUGAGAACUUACCAUCAUGAGAACAGCGUGGAGGUAACCGCCCCCAUGAUUCAACCACCUCCGACCCAGUCGCUUCCACAACACGGGGGAUUAUGGGAACUACGGUUCAAAACAGAUUUGGGUGAGGACACAGCCAAACCAUAUCACACUUUUCUUAUGGUAUCAGAAAUGUGGGUAUCUUCUUUUAUGAAAUGUAUGUUUAUAUGAUAUUUUCCAGUGUUAUUAUCUUGCUUGACGUUUACUUACUGAUUUCUGACAGUUCAUUAUGA
rnacentral:lncRNA from 1 species